UACGUAGGGUGCGAGCGUUAAUCGGAAUUACUGGGCGUAAAGCGUGCGCAGGCGGCUAUGCAAGACAGAUGUGAAAUCCCCGGGCUCAACCUGGGAACUGCAUUUGUGACUGCAUGGCUAGAGUACGGUAGAGGGGGAUGGAAUUCCGCGUGUAGCAGUGAAAUGCGUAGAUAUGCGGAGGAACACCGAUGGCGAAGGCAAUCCCCUGGACCUGUACUGACGCUCAUGCACGAAAGCGUGGGGAGCAAACAGG
rnacentral:rRNA from 1 species